GAUGAACGCUGGCGGCGUGCCUAACACAUGCAAGUCGAACGAGAUGCGUAUUGGAAAGCUUCGGCCGGAAGAUGCGUUAUCUAGUGGCGGACGGGUGAGUAACACGUGGGUAACCUGCCUUAUGGAGGGGGAUAACAGAGAGAAAUCACUGCUAAUACCGCAUAAGCACACAUUGCCGCAUGGCAGAGUGUGAAAAGAUUUAUCGCCAUAAGAUGGACCCGCGUCUGAUUAGCCAGUUGGCAGGGUAAAAGCCUACCAAAGCAACGAUCAGUAGCCGAUCUGAGAGGAUGACCGGCCACAUUGGGACUGAGACACGGCCCAAACUCCUACGGGAGGCAGCAGUGGGGAAUAUUGCACAAUGGGGGAAACCCUGAUGCAGCGACGCCGCGUGAGUGAAGAAGUAUUUCGGUAUGUAAAGCUCUAUCAGCAGGGAAGAUAAUGACAGUACCUGACUAAGAAGCCCCGGCUAACUACGUGCCAGCAGCCGCGGUAAUACGUAGGGGGCAAGCGUUAUCCGGAUUUACUGGGUGUAAAGGGAGCGUAGACGGAAUGGCAAGUCUGAAGUGAAAACCCCGGGCUCAACCUGGGGACUGCUUUGGAAACUGUUGUUCUAGAGUGUUGGAGAGGUAAGUGGAAUUCCUGGUGUAGCGGUGAAAUGCGUAGAUAUCAGGAAGAACACCGGAGGCGAAGGCGGCUUACUGGACAAUAACUGACGUUGAGGCUCGAAAGCGUGGGGAUCAAACAGG
rnacentral:rRNA from 1 species